UCCACAGUGGCUCAGUGGUAGAGCUAUCGGCUGUUAACCGAUCGGUCGUAGGUUCGAGUCCUACCUGUGGAGCCA
rnacentral:tRNA from 1 species